CCUAGGGAGGCAGCAGUGGGGAAUAUUGGACAAUGGGCGAAAGCCUGAUCCAGCCAUGCCGCGUGUGUGAAGAAGGCCUUCGGGUUGUAAAGCACUUUCAGUGGGGAAGAAAGCCUUGGGGCUAAUACCCUCGAGGAAGGACAUCACCCACAGAAGAAGCACCGGCUAACUCCGUGCCAGCAGCCGCGGUAAUACGGAGGGUGCGAGCGUUAAUCGGAAUUACUGGGCGUAAAGCGCGCGUAGGCGGUCUGAUAAGCCGGUUGUGAAAGCCCCGGGCUCAACCUGGGAACGGCAUCCGGAACUGUCAGGCUAGGGUGCAGGAGAGGAAGGUAGAAUUCCCGGUGUAGCGGUGAAAUGCGUAGAGAUCGGGAGGAAUACCAGUGGCGAAGGCGGCCUUCUGGACUGACACUGACGCUGAGGUGCGAAAGCGUGGGUAGCAAACAGGAUUAGAUACCCCAGUAGUC
rnacentral:rRNA from 1 species